GCCUGGAUGGCUCAGUCAGUUGAGCAUCUGACUUCAGCUCAGAUCAUGAUCUCACGCUUCGUGAGUUCGAGCCCUGUGUCGGGCU
rnacentral:tRNA from 1 species